UUCAGGCCUAACACAUGCAAGUCGUACGAGAAAUCCCGAGCUUGCUUGGGAGAGUAAAGUGGCGCACGGGUGAGUAACGCGUGGGUAACCCACCCUCGAAUCUGGGAUAACUCCGCGAAAGCGGUGCUAAUACCGGAUAAGACCACAUUCCGUUUGCGGAAAGAGGUAAAAGCUGACCUCUCCAUGGAAGUUAGCGUUCGAGGACGGGCCCGCGUCCUAUCAGCUUGUUGGUGGGGUAAUGGCCUACCAAGGCAGCGACGGGUAGCUGGUCUGAGAGGAUGAUCAGCCACACUGGAACUGGAACACGGUCCAGACUCCUACGGGAGGCAGCAGUGAGGAAUUUUGCGCAAUGGGGGAAACCCUGACGCAGCAACGCCGCGUGGGUGAAGAAGGCUUUCGGGUCGUAAAGCCCUGUCAGGUGGGAAGAAACUCUUCAGUACUAAUAAUGCUGAAGCCUGACGGUACCACCAGAGGAAGCACCGGCCAACUCCGUGCCAGCAGCCGCGGUAAUACGGAGGGUGCAAGCGUUGUUCGGAAUCAUUGGGCGUAAAGAGCG
rnacentral:rRNA from 1 species